AAUGUUUUUCUUUCAGAUGUUGAGAAGAAUCUUAGUCAUAUAAGUCGGAAAAAACCCAAACAGAAAUAUUACAGAAAAAGCACAUUAGUUUUUAACCAAAUUGAUUUAAACAUAAAAUGAGAUAACAUUUGACCAAAACUCAUUUUAAUUCAACCUGUUCAAGCCAAAAGAGAUUCUCAUAAACACGCCGUGUUAAAAAGCUGAUUUGAGUGAGCAACACACACACAAACACACACACACACACACACACACACACACAGGCCCUCAUAGAUAAACUCUAAGGUCAAAGGUUUCCUGUAAAUAGAGAGGGGAGGAGCCACACUGACCAGGUGAUCCAAGCUCAUGAGAACAGGGAGGGAGCCCUGAAAGUGUUCAGUCAGUCGGCUCCGACUCCAUUUUGAGUUGACAGAGCAAAAACUGAAGACUCAGGCAGGAGAGAAGAAGACAAGUCAUGCUUCUGGGGAGGAACUGUUGUCCAGAUACAAAACACGACCUGGACCUCAGACAGCCAGUCAGACAAGAACAAGACCUGGACCUCAGACAGCCAGUCAGACCAGCACUGUACAAACACUCUGUCUUUGCAUCAACCAAUCAGAAUGAUGUUUGUUCUCCAUCUGCAUAGAUGCAGAUGGAGAACUAUUAAUCUCUGUAAAGCAACAACAUCACUGUUCUAUCCCAGACAGACAGUCACACUGAUGAAAGGGGAGUUAUUUUCUUGCCAUUGUUGUAUAUCAAUGCAUGCUCAUGGGGGAUCUCUUGUUGGGUCUCUAAAUUAUAGAGUACGGUCUAAACCUGCUCUAUAUGAAAAGCGUCUUAAGAUAACUUCUGUUAUGAUUUGACGCUAUAUAAAAAUAAAUU